CCUACGGGAGGCAGCAGUCGAGAAUCAUUCACAAUGGGGGAAACCCUGAUGGUGCGACGCCGCGUGGGGGAAUGAAGGUCUUCGGAUUGUAAACCCCUGUCAUGUGGGAGCAAAUUAAAAAGAUAGUACCACAAGAGGAAGAGACGGAUAACUCUGUGCCAGCAGCCGCGGUAAUACAGAGGUCUCAAGCGUUGUUCGGAAUCACUGGGCGUAAAGCGUGCGUAGGCUGUUUCGUAAGUCGUGUGUGAAAGGCGCGGGCUCAACCCGCGGACGGCACAUGAUACUGCGAGACGAGAGUAAGGGAGGGGGAACCGGAAUGCUCGGUGUAGCAGUGAAAUGCGUAGAUAUCGAGAGGAACACUCGUGGCGAAGGCGGGUUCCUGGACAUUAACUGACGCUGAGGCACGAAGGCCAGGGGAGCGAAAGGGAUUAGAUACCCGGGUAGUC
rnacentral:rRNA from 1 species